AUGUGGUGGCUUAGGCCGGAGCCUGGAGCCUGCAGCCCUGUGCUGGGGGCUGGGGGCUCCGGGCCGGGGUCGCCUGGGGGCGCGGGGGCCGGGCCGGGGCUGGGGGCGCGGGAGGUUCCCGUCCUCCCCGGGGGCAUCCACCACCCCGCCCGGAGCUCGGGGCCGGCGCUUCUCCCCAGAAUCACUUCCUUUGUCUGGAGGAGGGGGUGGGGGAGGAGGCGCGGCGAGGAGGGAGGGGCCGCGGUGCCGCCGCCCCCGCCUCCCCCCGCCCUACCGGGGCGCGCAACCGCUCGUCACUCGGCUCCCGCGGGGGCGACGGAGGCGCCGGAGGCCAGGCCCGCGGCUCGGCUCGUCCCGGGGCCCGACAGGCGGCGGCGCGCGGCGGGCAUCCCCGGAGGGCGGCGCGGAGGCGUCGGGCCGGGAGGGCGCUGGGCCACGGCGCAGGUGCUCGGAGCCCUGCCCGCCCGCGUGACCUUGGGUAAGUCUGUGCCUCGGGUCGCCGCGGCUGCCGCCGGUGGGGGGAGCAGGGGAGGGUGGAGGGGGCACCGGAGUGCCCCUCGGGGCGGGCGGGGGCGGGGAGAGCCCGGGCCGAGAGGGUCCCUGCGGCGGGACCGUAGGGGGCUGCGGGGCGGGGGGCGCAGGGCUGCGGGGGGCGCAGGGUUGGGGGGCGCAAGGUUGCGGGGCGGGGGUUGCAGGGCUGCGGGGCGGGGGGGCGCGGGGCUGCGGGGCGGGGGGCGCAGGGCUGCGGGGCAGGGGGCACAGGAACGGGCGGCGCAGGGCACAGGGGCGGGGGGCGCAGGGCUGUGGGGCGGGGGCGCAGGGUUGGGGGCCGCAGGGCGCAGGGCUGCGGGGGGCCGCAGGGUUGGGGGCCUCAGGGCGCAGGGGCCGGGGGCGCAGGGCUGUGGGGCGGGGGCCGCAGGGCUGUGGGGCGGGGGCGCAGGGGUGCGGGGCGGCGGGCGCGGGAUGCGGGGAGGGUCGGGGGAGCCCGCCGCCGGCCGCCUGCCCGGCCCGGGUGACCCGGGCGCUACGUCUUUAAAGGCGCCCGGGGCUGAGCCUCCGCGACCAUGUGACGGCUCGAAGGCCGGGAGCUGCGGCGGGAGCCGGGGCCGGUGA
rnacentral:lncRNA from 1 species